GGAUGAAAUCCUGCUUUGGGUUUGUUAUUAUGGCAGAAGUAGCAGAUCCAGCAGUCUCCAUUUGGCCCUUCCUCCCAUAAUCGCCCUCCCUCCACUGUCAUGUGAACUUUCCUGGAGAACGCGGUGAUACCUUCAAAUAGCAAAAAAAGUUGCUUGACCUCUGCUGCAAAGAGUCCUGAUAUAUUCCAGAAUACACAGUGGUGAAUAAACAUGGCUCCUACUUUGCAGUAACUCAACUUCUAGUUGAAGAGAACAAAAAUCCCUCUGUAACAAAGUGACUCUGUAACAGAGAUAUUCUACCUCAACAGAGUUUGAACUUCAAAAUAAAGGAGCAUCUUUUUAUUCUUGUCAGUAAAUGGCUCAAGUCUCAUAACACUUUGACAAGAAUAUCAUUUUUCAACCUCUACAA